rnacentral:rRNA from 1 species
GACAGAGGUGCCGAGCGUUAGGCGGAAUCACUGGGCUUAAAGCGUGUGUAGGCGGGCGGGCAAGUACCUUGUGAAAUCCCACGGCUCAACCGUGGAACUGCUGGGUAUACUGGUUGUCUUGAGCCAGCUAGGGGCGAGCGGAACAGACGGUGGAGCGGUGAAAUGCGUAGAUAUCGUCUGGAACGCCGAAGGUGAAAACAGCUCGCUGGGGCUGCGCUGACGCUGAGGAGCGAAAGCGUGGGGAGCGAACAGG